rnacentral:lncRNA from 1 species
CAAUUGAUAGUCGAGUCAGUGACACAGAGACGGGCCAAUAGUAAAGUGGCCGUAUCCCUUUCGCUUUUGAUUCUAUCUUUAAGGGCUUGGGACUCUUGUAUUUUGUUCGUCCAAUUUCGAAACAAGACAAAAGGAGGGUUCGAAUCAAAAUGAUCAAGUCAUUUGAAAAGAAUGUGCCCCGAAUGUAUAAAAAAAAAAAGAAAAAAAAGAAGUCAAGAUUUCAUUUUCCUCCGCUUCUAUACCUGUUCUAAACAAAUGCGGAAAAAAAGGGGGGCUUGUUCCAGUUAAAAAACAUGUGCACUUUUCAAAAUGAAAAAAGUUCCCACUGGUAAAAACUGUGAGGCCUGCAUUUGUGCUUGGACCUUAUCAAAAUAUAUCUCGCCGUGUUCUCCCUCUCUUUUGGUGAGUGCGGAUGUUUUAGUUUUUUUGUUCCUGAACAAGGGAGGGGGUCCGUGUUCUGUGUGUACGUUGUUAAACCAUCAACUGAUGUACUUGUACGAUGUACACUGGACUGAAACACAGGGGAAACUUUCAAGCGAGGGUGAAAUAAAAAGGAAGGGAGAGUUGGCCCAGUCUCCCUAGAAACACACCGGCCGGAAAUGGCCGCAGCACAUCUGCACCCUCCCCCCUCUCUCUUUUUCUACUAACAACAAAGACCGAAAGAGAAAUGGUUGGGAAGCCAAAAAGACAGGAUCUAUUCAGCCGGUGGUAAAGGAAUCUUUCAAAUAUACCCCCCCAUUUUUUAAAAUUUCAUCAACAUCUUAUAAUGAAAUACAAAUAAGUUGUGGAAGUUGACAAAGGAAGCGAAGGAUUCAGUAACUGGAUGACAUUUCAGAUUGGCAGCGAGAUUGACGCACGACUCGGCAGUCGGAUCUAACGUUACAAGUCACUUAUAGACUAGCAGAGAUUUCGCAACAAAAAACAAAACACCCAACCUAAACAUAAAGAAGUUUUGUUCCUCAUUGCGACAUUGGAAUCAGCAACACGAAAUAUGAAUCCGGAACAAAGAUCAUUCCCGUGGAAUUCGAGCGUCCAAAAAUAACUAAACCAACAACAAAGUUGGUUCCGCGUACGUUUUCGGGACUUGUGACGCAACAGAGAGAACAAAAGAAAUGGACUGUUUUUCUUUUCUUAUUGAAAUUAAUGGCGACGGUAAAGGACGAUGCGUUUCACGUUUGAAAGAAAAAGGGGGAAAACAAAAUUUUGAUUUCUUCAAGUUGUUAGAUGAAAAUGUGGAUCAGUCACGGACCGAACGAAUGUUCGUGCGCCCGGAGGAAGCAAAAAAUUCACCUAUGUCGAAUCUUGAUCGUCCAAGCAAAUAAUAAUUCAACGAAAGGCUGCAAUCUAAUAUCCGAGCACGAUUUGAGCCGUCUUGAACUCGUCACACAAAUUUCGUUGGCUGGCCAAUGAAACGACACGCUUCGAACGCAGCCAAAACAAAGUCACCGUCUCGACACUGACGUGUAUGUCAAAACACUGGGGUCCUUUUAAUUGAUGUAUAAUAAAGGAGAAAAGAAGAAUAAUUAGUGAUGAAUCAAUGAACUCACUCACUGACAAAGUCACGCUCUACUGGAGGAGGAAAACAAGAAGUCACGCGGAGAGCAGGCGGAUGCGUGUCGAGCAAGGAGAAUCGCUCGAAACGAACUGGUAGCCGUUCACGUGUCGACAGACGAUCUCUAUACUUGGGACUUGACAGUCAUCCGACAGAGCCAUCUAGCGACGAAAUGUCGAACCACAAUGGAAGACGGUUGAAAUAAUAAUAAAUAACAAAUGAAGUUGACGAAAGAAAGAAAUUCAAAACCACAAAGUCUUUCUAGUGAUGAGAGAGAAAGACGAUUGAAGCGCGAUGGGAAAAGAAAAGAAAAACGAGGCAACACAUUUCUUCGAAGCCUCGUUAUAACAGCGUCAAAGCGGUUGACUAGGAAAGAAGGACGAACAAAAUAAAAUAUAUUGAAAGAAACAAUGGACUUUCUCUUCGACAAUUCACGAAAAUCGCGAACUUCAUUGUUGUGUCACAUAAAAAUCCGUCACCCUUCAAAUAGGCAAAAUGGAGGUCGUUUUCCACGAACGACAAGAGAAAGAAGAAGCCAACGACGACCUACAGAUUUCCGAUUGUGUUUUCCUUCAUUCGAUAUGGCAUGGCAAAUGAAGGGCAGAACAAGAGAGGGUCGUGCCGACUCGCCACCUACGCCGGAACUGAGACAAUCAAUGAAAAAUGGGGACAUUGUCGGAUGGUAUUAACUCCUUUGAUCACCAACCCCAUUCGCCCCGUUAGGCGGCAAAGACAAAUCGAUCAAAUUAGCACAAAGAACCAGGAGGUCUAAACAACCAACGCCGGUCACCGUGUCCGUUUCCCUUUCACGAUUUUCUUUUCUAUUUGCUGAAAGAAAAAAAAAUAUAAUAAAUAAAAUGUCCAGUUCCUUUCA